UGGCGAACGGGUGAGUAACACGUAGAUAAUCUGCCUUUCAGACGGGGACAACUCAGGGAAACUUGUGCUAAUACCCGAUGAGACCACAAGAAGGGAUUUUUGUGGCCAAAGGCGGGCAGCAAUGCUCGUGCUGAAAGAUGAGUCUGCGUCCUAUCAGCUAGUUGGUGGGGUAAAUGCCUACCAAGGCUAAGACGGGUAGCCGGCCUGAGAGGGUGAACGGCCACACUGGGACUGAGACACGGCCCAGACUCCUACGGGAGGCAGCAGUGAGGAAUUUUCCGCAAUGGGCGCAAGCCUGACGGAGCGACGCCGCGUGAGGGAUGACAGCUUUCGGGUUGUAAACCACUUUUAUUAAGGAAAAAGAUCUAUAUGCUAAUAUCAUGUAGAUUUGAUGGUACUUAUUGAAUAAGCCCCGGCUAACUACGUGCCAGCAGCCGCGGUAAUACGUAGGGGGCGAGCGUUGUCCAGAGUUACUGGGCGUAAA
rnacentral:rRNA from 1 species